rnacentral:lncRNA from 1 species
CUGGCAGUGUCCUGGCAUGCUCCUCAGAUUGUCGCACCAACACAUGUCAAGUCAUUAGCUGGGAGAGAAGCAGACAGAAGGAAGAGAUAGGGCUUCAAUCUGACCUCAGUAAGGUCUACAUUCUGUCCCAGGCAGUGCACAGCUUCUGCCUCUGUUCGCUGUCAGUGCUGUGCUGUGGACUGCUGUUGUUGUCUGAGGAAAAAGAAUGUGUAAGCGGCUUGGGAACUGAUGAUGCUGUGAAGAGGAAGGUGUCAGUGGUAAAUUAGUGACUGCGGCAUCAAGCCAAGGAGUUUCAGAGUCAGAACAAAAGAAUUUGCUCAAAGAACCAGCAUAUUUUUCAUUCUGAUGGUUGGAUGAAAGCCGGCCAGCUACUGCCUGCCAUCUCUGAGACUUCCAAGUCAAGGUUCUCCAUGGCUCUCUAUAUUACAACAACUCCUUACUCCAUACUCUUCAGGUACUUGCAUUCUCCAGAGCAUCAGGCAAAUGGAGUUUCAUGGGGAAGCC